CGCAAGCGAUAGCAGAAGAUGGGCUUAGACGCUCAUUAUCGUGACCGCUGCUCGACGAUGGCGAAAGCUGAUUUUGUGAACAGUGUUCGGUGUUGUUCACGGCGUCAGCGCGUUCUGCUGGAAGGACACAGAAGGAUUUCAUUGCUUUGCGCUCGGACCGAUGUCGCACGGUGAACAUGGGAGUGAGUGGAUAUCAUUCUGAUCGUACACUGCAGGCGAUCCGUUGUCUUUGUUGUAUGUCACGGCCAAAACUAGAGUACUUUUUCCCGGUGACUUCUACAAACAAGGAAGCUUUGCGCAGCAAUGAUUCACUCUGAUAUAUCAACGAGAGGGAUGGAUAUACGUACCGACGUGUUGUACGGGCUCCGUGGUUCUCUAUUCUUGUGGCUGUGAUGUCGCACUUCCGAUUGUAGAGAUUGAAGCUGGGGGAUGCAGUGGCAAAAUGUAUACUUCACCGGCAAACAUGCAAACUACCUCGUGUUCAGCUCACGUGUACGAGGACAGAUUGCGUCAUUGUUAUAGUGCGGAUCCUUUCGUCCUUUUAUGACGUGAAAUGCAUAUUCCGUAGCUUCUGCCGCUAAAGAUUGACUGGAACUGUUUCCCUUUAUGUCUUCGUGAAGAUUGUGAGCGGUGACGUGGGCGCAGUGACGUCCCCCUGAUAGAGUCCAGUGACGGACAUGACUGCAUUCUGCAACUACGUCGAGGCACCAGUUGCUCAGGAAUGUUUCUGGGAGUUUGGUGCUGGCCACAAAGACGACAGAACCUGAUUACUGUUGUAGCGCUGGUCGGUGGCACCCCGCCGUGCAAGAGAAAGAGCCCGCUUGCGUGGUAGGACGACUGGGCUGUCACCGUCUUUCAAGUGCGAGCUAACAUUUCGACGCCGAACUACAGGAACAUUGUCUUUUUUGGUCCAGUAGCAAUCGGAUAUAUCACUGACCGGAGAAGCACGAACAUCGUACGGUUCGUCCUGGAAAGGCAGCUGUUGAUGCUGUGCAGGUGCAAUGGCAGGUUCAUGUAGCAAAACAGGAAGAGUUAACAAGAACAGGUACUGGGAUCCGGGUAGUUGACACCGAGCACCGUGAAAAAGGGGCACCCAGCCAUGUACUUGACGCCUCAACGCCAAUAGGUCUCGUUUGAAUUCCUUUUGCCACAUGGCUCAGCAAAUCCCGCCACAAUGAAGGUAUUACUUAGAGAAGCCAUCGAACGGGGGCUUGACUGUGUAUCACUUCGAUCUCCAGAAAAGUGUUUCAGGCUUAAAGGCAUAGCAUCCUGAUCGUAACUGUUGAUUGUGGUACACCAUUUUCUCCCGAGUCGUAACUGUGGUAGCGUCACUGUGGGCAGCCACUUCCACCCUUCCUACGCUGCAAUCAACGGAAACCAUAAUUGUCGGUCUUGCAUUCACACAUUGGCGUUUCUUGCCCCUGUAGCAAGUAAGAGUUUCUUGCUGUAAGAAACAAAUCCAAACCUCAUCAACGUCAAGAUAGGAACAUCGCUGAACCAUAAGAUAAUGCCGUUUCUGCGAUGCAUAGUCGCAUACAUCACAGCGCAUGAACUAAUCAAAAGAGUGAUAUUUAGCGCUCACCAGCUGAUGCGCGCACUAUUUGACUUCGGAACGGAAUACCAUUGGAUAUUGUUUACGUGAAAUCUGUUUGGGAAUUUAGCUGUGCGAGCUCAACACAAGAGUCAACAGGGUUGGAUAAGGUGCUUGAGCUUUGGAAUAUCCUAAACGCAUGUGACACUCUGGCAUUCAUCUGAAAGUUGGAAGAAUGUGAUUUGUCUUGGAGUUUCAUCUUGCUUGCAGCGAACUGCUCGAAGUCAUUUCUUGGACUUGCACAAUUUCUCUUGGCCGGUGCAGGGCGUGAGCGAAACAGUGCUGACGCGUAGCAGUCCCAUUGUCUGGUUAACUUCGCCGUUUAACAACAGAUGGGACAACAAAACACAUGAUGCAACAAGCAAAAUUGGUUUCUGUUAGCUCUUCCUCAUUCACAAUCAGGCAGUAAGCAUUGAGCCCA
rnacentral:lncRNA from 1 species